UGUGGGUCGGGUGUGGGUUCUGUGGGU
rnacentral:piRNA from 1 species